GGUGAAUGCUUUGGGGUGGGGUGACUGCGUACCUUUUGUAUAAUGGGUCAGCGACUUAUAUUCUGUAGCAAGGUUAACCGAAUAGGGGAGCCGGAGGGAAACCGAGUCUUAAUUGGGCGUUAAGUUGCAGGGUAUAGACCCGAAACCCGGUGAUCUAGCCAUGGGCAGGUUGAAGGUUGGGUAACACUAACUGGAGGACCGAACCGACUAAUGUUGAAAAAUUAGCGGAUGACCUGUGGCUGGGGGUGAAAGGCCAAUCAAACCGGGAGAUAGCUGGUUCUCCCCGAAAGCUAUUUAGGUAGCGCCUCGUGAAUUCAUCUCCGGGGGUAGAGCACUGUUUCGGCUAGGGGGCCAUCCCGGCUUACCAACCCGAUGCAAACUGCGAAUACCGGAGAAUGUUAUCACGGGAGACACACGGCGGGUGCUAACGUCCGUCGUGAAGAGGGAAACAACCCAGACCGCCAGCUAAGGUCCCAAAGUCAUGGUUAAGUGGGAAACGAUGUGGGAAGGCCCAGACAGCCAGGAUGUUGGCUUAGAAGCAGCCAUCAUUUAAAGAAAGCGUAAUAGCUCACUGGUCGAGUCGGCCUGCGCGGAAGAUGUAACGGGGCUAAACCAU
rnacentral:rRNA from 1 species